GCGGUUGUAGUUCAACGGUAGAAUGUGCGACUGUGGCUCGUAAGACGGGGGUUCGACUCCCCUCUUCCGCC
rnacentral:tRNA from 1 species